UCUACAUAAACCAACUAGUGAACUACUUUCACUUUGUAAACAACGUGAAUGGGUGCUUUCUUUUAUCUACCCCCGAUCUUUUCGGCCCGUGUCAUUUGGAUCCUUGUGAAUUUUAGAUGAAAUUGAUAAUAAGGGACAGAGUGGUUAUCAGCAGUAUACAAUAUAUAGAAUUAAACACAAUAAUAAUUUAACUAUUUAUUUCCAUAUAAAUAGAGAAAAAAAAUCUAAAAAAUUUUUAACUCCUAAGAUAUUACUAUAAACUUAAAUUUUCAAUUGAAAUUCAAAACUUUUUAAGAAUUAGGUGAGCAAAUUUGUAAUGAAUUGUAAUUUUAUUAGUUAUGUGAUAAAUAACAUUUUCUAUUUUUUUUGAAAAAUUUUUUUUUUGAUAAUUUAUGGAAAACAAAAUACCAGCUUUUGAACUUGGUCAUUUUUUGGCAAAAUAUUGCAUAUAGGGUACCAUCAUUGUAUGGAUAAGUCCUCCUACAGUUUUCAAAAUAGGAAGUUGUUCUUUUGCAGAUCAAUUAAACAUAUAUCAGAGGUAUGCAUAUUGCUAGGAUUUUGAUUUUUGAUAAUUUAUGAAAAUAAUACCAGCUUUUGAACUUGGUCAUUUUUUGGCAAAAUAUUGCAUAUAGGGUACCCUCAUUGUACGGAUAAGUCCUCCUACAGUUUUCAAAAUAGGAAGUUGUUCUUUUGCAGAUCAGUUAUACAUAUAUCAGAGGUAUGCAUAUUGCUAGGAUUUUGAUUUUCGAUAAUUUAUGAAAAAAAUACCAGCUUUUGAACUUUGUCAUUUUUUGGCAAAAUAUUGCAUAUAGGGUACCCUCAUUGUACGGAUAACUCCUCCUACAGUUCUCAAGAUAGGAAAUUUUUCUUUUGCAGAUCAGUUAUACAUAUAUCAGAGGUGUGCUUAUUGCUAGGAGUUUGGUUACUGAUAAUUUAUGAAAAAAAAUUGCUUGUAUUUUGGUUACUGAUAAUUUAUGAAAAAAAAAUUAAGUCAUUUUUUGGCAAAAUAUUGCAUAUGAUAUAGCGUACCCUCAUUGUACGGAUAACUCCUCUUACAGUUUUCAAGAUAAGAAGUUGUUCUUUUGCAGAUCAAUUAUACAUAUAUCAGAGGUGUGCAUAUUGCUAGGAUUUUGAUUACUGAUAA